GAGUUUUGGAAUGGGUCCAGCUAACUUAAGGGGUACAUGUGGGUUCUCCCAGGUCCUGCCUUGCAGGGAUGGCACAUUCCAGACUGGCAGCCCCUGAACAAACUCAAGGGGAAUCCAGCUUGCUCUGCUGUGCAUGAAGCAGCACCACAGGGACCCUCUGGAAGCAGCAGCCAGAGCCUGAGCCUCCUUGGCACUAAAGCCUGCAGUGGCCCCGCAAAAGCAGAGUGAAGGCUGAGGCUCUGGAACGGCCUAGGAGAGCCCACCACCACCACCUCAGCUGCCCAUUCUUCCCUUCCCCCAUAACCAGAUUGUUCAGCUCCUUGGACCAAACCAUGGCCUGAGGCUGUCCCUCUCCCACUGUGCCCAUGGAGCCGCUGGCAUCCUCAACUCCCCCAGCAUGAGACACGCCCAGCCCACUGGCCCUCAUAACUGAAGUCGCAGCUCAUGGAGGACCAGCAGGGGGAGCCCAGACCUUUCUCUGUUUUGGUGGCAGAAGGGGGCAGAGGUGGAGAACACCCUGCUGGGCACACAGUAGGCAUGCAGUAGAUGUCUGGUGCCUACCAGCCCCUGCCCCCUACCCGUCUCUUCUGGCCUUCCUGACCUUCUCAUUUGGGCAGCCCCCCCUCUGCCCUGGGACCUUGGCUUCAGCUGUCUGGUUGGCCCUCAGCUUCUUUGUCACCUCCUUCCUGUCACCAUGGACUCAGCUUGUCACCUAGAAGAACCCCCAGUCUAGGGUCACAGUGUCUCUGUGGCAUUACCCUGUGCAGCUUCCUUCCUGGUAUUUACUGUCUCUGAAGUGACAUUGUUUACGUCAAUGGUCCCUUUCCUUUCCUGAGUGUUCGGCUCUGAGAGGCAGGGACCCUGCCUCCACCAUCCUGUCCUCACACUGGGAGCUGUGCCCAGCACACAGAGGAUGUUCAGUCUCGGUGGAGCACUGAUGUCCACGCUGCAAGGGCACGCGAUGGAGUCUGGAGGAGGCCACCUUGCCAGGCAGCCAUUUCUUUGAGUCUCACUCUUAAAGCAUCACUUGAUGUCACACAAUGUCACACACCGCGUCUGUGAGCACUUUCAGUCUUGAGGACAGGUGUUUGCCUCUCAAGAAAGUGAUUAGAAUCGAUACUAUGGGAAGGUGUGCUUCAUUUCUCUUGUUGCAUCGGGUUGGAAAAUUCCAUAUCUGGCCCAGGGGCUGGCGGCUGGGACCCUGGCUCUGAGCAGGUGAGGCUGGAGGACCAUGGACUUCCUGCUACUGCCAUGGACCACAGCCUGCACCCUGUUUAGGAAGACAAUCUGGCAAUAUCCAACAACAGGGGAAACAUGCAGACUCUAAAAUUAUGCUGGCCUGUAAAAUACGCGUGUCCCCAGUCCUUCCUCCCCGUGACCACACCCUUUACAAUGGGACUUGCUGUGCUGUGAAGAUGCCCUGUCUGCUGGUCCUGGCUGCUCUUGGGGACUCUUUGGCCAGUCGAAUGGAGCAACAAUGAGAAUGUGAAGUUCUGAGCCCAGGCUUCAAGACCUGUAUGACUCUCCUCUCUUUGAGCUCCAGCUCUACACCAGAACAAGCUAAGCCCAUUUGAUGGAGGAAGGAAGGCCACGCAAAAGAGAAAUGAUCUGUGACCAGCCAGCCCUAGCUGACGAGAGGCCAACCCCAUGAUUGACCAAGCCGUAUCAGUAGACCAGCCCAAUAUCAGUUGCCUGGUAACAAAUAACAGGUUGUUACUUUAGGCCUUUAAGACUCAGGUUGCUAGGCAGCAUCGCCGUGGCAACGGAUGACUGAUACAAAAGCUUGGUGGGUCUACUCCUUGGAACUUGCCUUGAGAAGCACAAGUCAGAGGAGAUGACAAAGUCAAGCAUGCUCACUGGACCACACCACUGGCCAAAUGCGGCAAGCCACCCUUAAUACCCAGCAGCAGCAGGGAAGCAGAUUCGCUAGGGGUGAUUCUUCCUCACAGUGAGACUCUAAGCCAUGUAAGGGACGAGGCUAAGUCAUACAGGGCGACAUAGAAAGACCUUCGGAGAACCUGGUUCCUCAAAAGGCACACUGGAGAACGACUGAGAGUCACACCAGUCUGUGAGACACGUUUUCCAUUGACACCUGUCUGAAAUGUUCUGAUGAAAGACCUGUGAGGAGCCCACUGUGCGGACACAGGCUUCCAGAAUCUUCUGUAAGAUGUUUCUGUGUUCCUAUUGAGCUCUGUCUAUAACGGUGUCCACAAUCUUCUCUAGGGAAGGUCGAGUACCUCAUUCAGGACCCCUGCAUCUUGAGUUCAAAGUCAUAUAAAAGGCACCAGCCUAUUAAAAAGUGUUCAGCACUUUUUUUUUAUUUAUUUAUUAUGUACACAGUGUUCUGCCUGCAUGUAUCCCUGCAGGUCAGAAGAAGGCGCCAGAUCUCAUUACAGAUGUUUGUGAGCCUCCAUGUGGUUGCUGAGAGUUGAACUCAGGACCUUUGGAAGAGCAAGCAGUGCUCUUAACCUCUGAGCCAUCUCUCCAGCCCCCUGUUCAGCACUUUUAAUCACCUAAGAAGCACAAAUUGAACCCACAGUGAGAUACUGUUGUGCACAGCUCCGUGACCCUGGAUGUGCUAACUACCACACUCAACAUUGCCAAGGAGAAAGUCGGUGUGCCUGUUCUGCUUUAUACAACUAAAUACAUGCUUACCAUGAACCCCAGUGACUCUAUUCCCUGCCACCAACCAGAGAGAAGGGGAAAAUCAUGCUGACCUAGACAACCUAACAUGUUGUUGACAAAUGUGUGGAUAAAUGUGUGGUGUCCCAUCCACACAAAUGGAAUACAACUCACCAGUGAAAAGGAAUAGACCUCAGAGUCAUCAACAACACAGAUGACUCUCAUAGGUCUCUCAACAAUUGUCUGGCACAGAAGUCUGUCCCACCUACCCAGCCCAUUCACUGAAGUUCCGAGAAGGGAGGCAGUGUGUGGGAA